AUUGAACGCUGGCGGCAUGCUUUACACAUGCAAGUCGAGCGGUAACAGGCCUUCGGGUGCUGACGAGUGGCGAACGGGUGAGUAAUGCAUCGGAACGUACCCAGAGGUGGGGGAUAACGCAGCGAAAGCUGUGCUAAUACCGCAUGUGAUCUGAGGAUGAAAGCGGGGGACCGAGCAGCAAUGUUUGGCCUCGCGCCUUUGGAGCGGCCGGUGUCGGAUUAGCUAGUUGGUGGGGUAAAGGCCUACCAAGGCGACGAUCCGUAGCUGGUCUGAGAGGACGACCAGCCACACUGGGACUGAGACACGGCCCAGACUCCUACGGGAGGCAGCAGUGGGGAAUUUUGGACAAUGGGCGCAAGCCUGAUCCAGCAAUGCCGCGUGCGGGAAGAAGGCCUUCGGGUUGUAAACCGCUUUUGGCAGGAACGAAACGGUGUCCGCUAAUACCGGGCGCUAAUGACGGUACCUGCAGAAUAAGCACCGGCUAACUACGUG
rnacentral:rRNA from 1 species